GACACUAUGCCCGAGUGGUUAAGGGGAGAGAUUAGAAAUCUCUUGGCUUCGGCCGCACAGGUUCGAAUCCUGUUGGUGUCG
rfam:Rasamsonia emersonii CBS 393.64 ctg1118621760039, whole genome shotgun sequence.